rnacentral:rRNA from 1 species
ACUCCUACGGGAGGCAGCAGUGGGGAAUAUUGGACAAUGGGCGCAAGCCUGAUCCAGCCAUGCCGCGUGAGUGAUGAAGGCCCUAGGGUUGUAAAGCUCUUUCAGCGAGGAGGAUAAUGACGUUACUCGCAGAAGAACGCCCCGGCUAACUUCGUGCCAGCAGCCGCGGUAAUACGAAGGGGCUAGCGUUGUUCGGAAUCACUGGGCGUAAAGCGCACGUAGGCGGACUGAUCAGUCAGGGUGAAAUCCCGGGGCUCAACCCCGGAACUGCCUUUGAUACUGUCAGUCUUGAGUCCGAGAGAGGUGAGUGGAACUCCGAGUGUAGAGGUGAAAUUCGUAGAUAUUCGGAAGAACACCAGUGGCGAAGGCGGCUCACUGGCUCGGUACUGACGCUGAGGUGCGAAAGCGUGGGAGCAAACAGGAUUAGAUACCCUGGUAGCGAGUAG